GUCACAGCCCGGCCUAAUAUAGUGUAUAGUUAAGCCGGGGAAAGGUGUGACUGGGAAAAGGGAGAAAGAAAAUGCAAAAGAAAAGAGGUUUCAAUAAUAAUAAUGAACACGCUUUAACGAUGAAUUACUUAAUAUUGGAUAAUCAUAAGCAAUCACUUUUAAAACUCAUGAGUAGACAACUUACAAUACACAACGACAAGUUGUCUAACUUUCAAGUGACAUAAUUCUCAAAGCUAUUGUUUUAAAAUAUGUACAACACCUCAAUAAAGUAGAAUAGACUAAGUGUUGCAGCGGAAUAAUUCAUGUGGAUUACAUGUAUGAAGACAUGGAAUCCUGAGCCUGGUUUAAUACAUAUACAUCAAAGAAUUUGCUCUGCUCGCUUCCAUCUGCACCACAGCUUAACCUGCAUAUUUAGAAACAUACGCAGGGCUGAGUACUGAAAAGCACUCAGUGGUCAUAUGCCGAAAUAACUUGAAAGCUUGCUCUUAGAGCUAUAUAUUGAACUUGCCAUCUCAAGCAUCACACAUCACACAGGAGUUUUAUUUAAAUAACCUGUGCAUGCAAAACUAUAAAACUUCUCUAUAAUCAUCAUAACCCCAUAUACGUCUGCAGACAAUUAACAUGUAUGUACCAUAUCUACGUAUCAUAUAGCUCUGAGUGUUGAGAAGUAGGCCUCCUUCUUAAACACGAUGACAAGCUAACUCACAGGUUAGCUGUCAACUCUCUGUACACAAAUCUUGACUUGCUCAGGGCCCGAAUUCGUUCUUCUAUGUAGAUGGUAUCAUACAAAUCUCAAAUAUUGGCAAGUCAAUAAUUUGAAAAUAAAUGCAUACACUUAAACUUUUUAUAAUAAAAUAUGCAUCUUUACUUCUUGAGUUAGUAAGCCCACCUGAUAACGCUUAAUGAAAUAGAAGUCCUUGCUUGUUCACUCUACACUGCCAAUCGAACCUUCAUUAUAAUGAGGUUCCCAAGUAAGAUUGGAUAAUAACAAGAAAAAACAAAAUAAUUCCUAGUUGAAACUUCUAUCACUUGAAAGGUUGCAUUCUCUAGUUUAGUCGUCUGUUUUUAUGAAUUUAACUAAAAGCAUAUACUAACAUUCCAUCUCUUAGGAUAUCUCACUUGAGAAAGCUUAAGAGUAAACUAAUCCAUUCUAUAUAGAUUAACUUACAAUUAAUAAGUGAAACACCAAUCACUUAGCAUAGUUCUAUUCAUAACUAUCUCAAGUAAGAAAUCUCAAAUAUACAAUCAUAUAUGAAUCUGAACUUUGAAAAAUCAUAUAAAAUCAACCACUUCAAAGAAAAAUACAAGCUUUACUUUUUAGAAGCUUUCAGUCUAUUUUUCUUAGAAAUUUACAAAAAUACAAUAUCUCAAGUGUAUGAGAAGUUAUAUCACGAAAGGCAGAAUCUGCCACUGAACUUCGCUGCUUCGUGCAGUACUUUUCAGAAAAUAGUUUGGCAUGUCUAAUUGUGUCGGAUUUAGCUGAAAUUUUGCAGAGACGACUACUCAUGAUGACGUUAUUACUGUAAAAAUUUCAAGUUAUUUGGACUACGGAACAUCAUCAAAAUUACCCGAAGAUACUGUUCUGUCCAGCUCGAAAUUGACAGCAAUGCUCAUUGACAUAUCACUCAUAUUUUCCUCAAAUAACAGCUAUAGGAACUCAAAUACAUCAUCUUAAUACACAUUAGCAUGCUUUAGCUUAACUUAAUUCAUGUUCUACACAUCAACAUAUAGUAGCAUGCUUAAUAUCCUCCAAUUUUUAUCAUAUAAUCUCAUUUUACAACUCAAGAGUACAAUUAUACAAGCUUCUAACAUGUAGCUAUCUUAUAUCAAGAAUUCUCAAAUCCACUUAAACUAACAAAGUCAAUCUCACAAACUAUGUGGUGUAGACUCAUAAUUAUUCAUAUAUGACAUAAUUCCAACUCAAGAACACAUAUAUGAGUCCAAUUAUUCAAGAACAUAAUCAUAACUCUCAACCUCAAACCUAGGGUUCAUACUAACUUGAGUAAACUCGAAAUCAAGUAAAAAUUAAUACAAUUAACCAGCAUAAUCAUGCUUAGGAACAUCAAAGACGUAUUAUAUCUCAAUAUUAAAAUCAUACCUCAAUUCUAAUAUGAAAUCCCCAAAUUUUUCGAAAACCCUAAAGUUUAAACUAGAAAUUUCUCCAAGCUAAAGUUAGAGAGGGGUAGAAAAUCAAGAAAUUCACCUUUUCUUUCAAAGUAUUGUAAUUAUUGCUUGAAAUCUCUCUUCAAAAUUGAUCUUGAGGGAAGUAAAAUGGUGGUACAGUAAUGGUGGGGAUCGAAGGGUUUGGAGUAGGAGAAAUGAAGUAAAUCUUUGGAGUAAUAUAUAUACAUUCCCCUUUUUUCUUGGAAAUUGUGCAAUUAGAAACAAAUUGUAGAGUUAGCAUUUUAAAAGUAAUCUGACUCCAACUCCAAGUAUUCGAUCCAUU
rnacentral:lncRNA from 1 species